rnacentral:rRNA from 1 species
AGUAACGCGUGAGGAACCUGCCUCAAAGAGGGGGACAACAGUUGGAAACGACUGCUAAUACCGCAUAAGCCCACGGCUCGGCAUCGAGCAGAGGGAAAAGGAGUGAUCCACUUUGAGAUGGCCUCGCGUCCGAUUAGCUAGUUGGUGAGGUAACGGCCCACCAAGGCGACGAUCGGUAGCCGGACUGAGAGGUUGAACGGCCACACUGGGACUGAGACACGGCCCAG